UUUUUUUUUUAAUAUGUAACAGAAGAAGGUUAACGUAAAGAGAGAAGGGGUCCUCUUCUCUUGGGAUUCAGUUGCAGGUGACUAAUUAGACUUAGGUGACCUUGCUGGAGAGUAGUUCAGCGUGAAACGGUGGCCGGAAGAGGUGUGACUUGCUAGCACAUGGAGGCAGGCAAAAAGCAAAAACAAUGCAUGGGCAACAUGUGCCUUUUUCGACGAAGGGCUUCUAGUGGUGACCUUGCGGGCUUUUGGCGCUCCUGUCUAGGUGGGCGAUGACACUUGAAACUUCCUAUUCAGUUGGGAACCGCUUGAGGGUUGAGAAACAAAGUCUG
rnacentral:misc_RNA from 1 species